AGGUGGAGAAGGAGGUUGUCACUAACCCCUGUGGAACAGCCCCGCCUUCAUUUUAAAGGAGGCAGAUGGUGCAUUAGAUCUGUAUCAUAUCUGGUGACAAAUAGAUCUGGAAUCCACUGUUUUUGAAGACUGUGGGGGCUUUGGCAAGGCCUGAUCCCACCUGACACUUCUUGGUUCUUGGGACAAUUGAACUCAGAUGAUGAACUGGGAAAGAAGGGGGGCUACUUGAAACCAAGUGACAGACAUCAGGAAAAAACUCAUUUCCAGGUGUGACCUCAUUCCAGCUCAGACAGAAAUUCUGAAAUGAUCUCUUCACGUAGAUGCCAGCCUGCAACACUCAAUAGUGUAUGCCAGAGCACGUGUUACACACUGAAUGAGCAUGAAUGUCCAUGCACCAUGUGAUCACUCCACUAAUUCCUGACUGAUGACAAUGAAAUACAGCAUGAAGAAAAGGCAGAAGGCAACCCUGAAUGGGAACACUCAUCUUGCAGACAAGCAGAUUUUGCCAUCAUCUUAGCAACUAGGAGGAGUCUAUCUCAGCAGAUUAUCACUCCUGCAUCUAUGGAAUGGCCAUUUGAGACAUCAACUUUUUCAUCUGGGAACUCUGAAUCUUUUAUAUAUUCUGAUCCCUUUCAGUUACAAAGCUAGCUGACAGCAGAAGCAUAUUUAACUAAAAUUUGACCAAAAAUGUCUAGAAUAGCAUAUUCACAGAAGAAACUACAGGUCCUUGAUGAGAUGAUCUAGAAACACAGAGACACCACUGAAAGGGGCAUUGUAAUGACUAAGGAACAUGGAUGUGUCUUCUUCAUUCUGAGAAAGACACAUAGGACUGUUCAAAAUGGAAAACUCUCCAGAUACUUUUUGAGAUAGUGAUAGCACUCGAGCAAAUGGGCAAAAUUACACUUUCAAGGACAGUAAUG